rnacentral:rRNA from 1 species
AGAGUGAACGCUGGCGGCAGGCCUAACACAUGCAAGUCGAACGGCAGCACAGCCCCGCAAGGGGUGGGUGGCGAGUGGCGGACGGGUGAGGAAUACAUCGGAAUCUACCCUGUCGUGGGGGAUAACGUAGGGAAACUUACGCUAAUACCGCAUACGACCCACGGGUGAAAGCGGCGGACCGCAAGGCGUCGCGCGAUUGGAUGAGCCGAUGUCCGAUUAGCUAGUUGGCGGGUAAAGCCCACCAAGGCGACGAUCGGUAGCUGGUCUGAGAGGAUGAUCAGCCACACUAGGAACUGAAGACACCGGUCCAAGACCUCCGUACGGGAGGCAGCAGGUGGGGAAUUAGUAGAACAAGUGGGACGAAAGCCUAGACUCCAAGCG